rnacentral:misc_RNA from 1 species
GAAAUGCGAUAAUUAAUGUGAAUUGCAGAAUUCAGUGAAUCAUCGAGUCUUUGAACGCACAUUGCGCCCCCUGGUAUUCCGGGGGCAUGCCUGUCCGAGCGUCAUUGCUGCCCUCAAGCACGGCUUGUGUGUUGGGCUUCCGUCCCUGGCAACGGGGACGGGCCCAAAAGGCAGUGGCGGCACCAUGUCUGGUCCUCGAGCGUAUGGGGCUUUGUCACCCGCUCCCGUAGGUCCAGCUGGCAGCUAGCCUCGCAACCAAUCUUUUUAACCAGGUUGACCUCGGAUCAGGUAGGGAUACCCGCUGAACUUAAGC